UACGAAGGGGGCUAGCGUUGUUCGGAAUUACUGGGCGUAAAGCGCGCGCAGGCGGUCUUCCAAGUCAGUGGUGAAAGCCCGGAGCUCAACUCCGGAACUGCCAUUGAAACUGUGAGACUUGAGUACGAGAGAGGUGAGUGGAAUUCCCAGUGUAGAGGUGAAAUUCGUAGAUAUUGGGAAGAACACCGGUGGCGAAGGCGGGCUCACUGGCUCGUAACUGACGCUCAUGCACGACAGCGUGGGGAUCAAACAGG
rnacentral:rRNA from 1 species